UACGUAGGGCGCAAGCGUUAUCCGGAAUUAUUGGGCGUAAAGAGCUCGUAGGCGGUUUGUCGCGUCUGCCGUGAAAGUCCGGGCUCAACUCCGGAUCUGCGGUGGGUACGGGCAGACUAGAGUGAUGUAGGGGGGAGACUGGAAAUUCCUGGUGUAGCGGUGAAAAUGCGCAGAUAUCAGGAGGAACACCGAUGGCGAAGGCAGGUCUCUGGGCAUUAACUGACGCUGAGGAGCGAAAGCAUGGGGAGCGAACAGG
rnacentral:rRNA from 1 species